CUAGCUUCAUUUUGGAGCUUUAGAGGAGAUUUGGCACUAGAGGACACUAGGAGGCUAUUGGACGUCUUCGUUGGAGCAAACGAAAGGUUUCGUUUACCAUCGAGCCUUCGGCACCGGCGGAGGCACGGGAUCGCGG